AGAGUGAACGCUGGCGGUAGGCCUAACACAUGCAAGUCGAACGGCAGCACAGUGGUAGCAAUACCAUGGGUGGCGAGUGGCGGACGGGUGAGGAAUACAUCGGAAUCUACCUUUUCGUGGGGGAUAACGUAGGGAAACUUACGCUAAUACCGCAUACGCCCUUUGGGGGAAAGCCGGGGAUCGCAAGACCUGGCGCGGAUAGAUGAGCCGAUGUCGGAUUAGCUAGUUGGUGAGGUAAUGGCUCACCAAGGCGACGAUCCGUAGCUGGUCUGAGAGGAUGAUCAGGCCACACUGGAACUGAGACACGGUCCAGACU
rnacentral:rRNA from 1 species